GACGGGUGAGUAAUGCCUAGGAAAUUGCCCUGAUGUGGGGGAUAACCAUUGGAAACGAUGGCUAAUACCGCAUGAUGCCUACGGGCCAAAGAGGGGGACCUUCGGGCCUCUCGCGUCAGGAUAUGCCUAGGUGGGAUUAGCUAGUUGGUGAGGUAAGGGCUCACCAAGGCGACGAUCCCUAGCUGGUCUGAGAGGAUGAUCAGCCACACUGGAACUGAGACACGGUCCAGACUCCUACGGGAGGCAGCAGUGGGGAAUAUUGCACAAUGGGCGCAAGCCUGAUGCAGCCAUGCCGCGUGUGUGAAGAAGGCCUUCGGGUUGUAAAGCACUUUCAGUCGUGAGGAAGGUUUAGUAGUUAAUAGCGGAUUUAUUUGACGUUAGCGACAGAAGAAGCACCGGCUAACUCCGUGCCAGCAGCCGCGGUAAUACGGAGGGUGCGAGCGUUAAUCGGAAUUACUGGGCGUAAAGCGCAUGCAGGUGGUUUGUUAAGUCAGAUGUGAAAGCCCGGGGCUCAACCUCGGAAUAGCAUUUGAAACUGGCAGACUAGAGUACUGUAGAGGGGGGUAGAAUUUCAGGUGUAGCGGUGAAAUGCGUAGAGAUCUGAAGGAAUAC
rnacentral:rRNA from 1 species